UGCUUGGUCUCUGUCGUUGUAUUUGUAACUUCUUAAUCUUGAUUCAAUGCCCUUCGUUGCCAUUUUUAUUAAAAAAUAUUGAACGAACACAACAAAUUAAAAUUUAUUUGCUCCUUGACUGCCCAGUACUUGCUCAACAACGCAAAGUGCGCAUGUGCAUUGUAUACCGCUGUUCAGUUGAAACGCGGCAGAAUAUUAACACCGGAAGAGCAAAUAUUACAUUCAUGUGUAGUGGUGUCUAAAUUAAAAUUAUAAAUAUUUAUAUAUUAAAGAUCUAUUUAACCUGUGCCAAUUAAAGGUGAGUUUUCCUUCGAAAUUAUAAAUGAUAUUUUAUUUAAUGAUUUUUUAAAAGGUUAAUAAUGCAUGUAUCAAUUUGAAACAUCGGCCCGCCCCCCCCCCCCUGACAGCCCCGAGCAUACCCUUGGGCAUAUUAAAACUUAAAUGUCCCUAGGUAUAAACAUCAAAUUUCAUAGAAUGCUAGAUUUGGUGGGUAUAAAUUUAAGUGAGCAUAUAUGUACACAAUUUAAGAUUCCGAGUCGCACAGGUUUGAUUCAUGCCCCUAAGGCCUGGUGUUGCAUUUUUUGCAACAUGCCGUCCCUGGUUAGGUCUUGAAUUGUGUAUAUAAUAUACGGCUCACUUGAAUAUUUACACACUAAAUCCUGCAUUCUAGUUCAAGUGAGGUGCAAUUACAUCUUUCAAAUUAAAUCUCUUUUGUUUCCUAACAAGAUAAAAUGAAAAGAAUGAAUAUAAAUAUACUUUUAAUUAACCCAUUAAGUUGCAUGCAUUUGCAUCCCAAAGCACCUACUUUGUUAUUUUAUUCUGUCUAACACCAGAUGAUUUUACUUGUCUGGGAAUCUGAGUGAUAUGGUGCUCAAUGGAAUAGAAUUGUUAAAUGCAAUAUAUAGACAGAGAGAAUGUACUAUUUUCCAUCACAAAGAAGAUUCAGAAUGUUCAAUUCCCCACUCCCUGGAGAGAUAUUUAGAUUAUAGAGUCAGAUUCUCAGGGUAUGUAUGCUUGAGGAACACGGAGGGAGGGGGAGGGAUUGGGCAAUGUUUUAAUUUAAUCUGUACAUAAAUAGUUAUAUUUUGUAUAUAUAAUGUGGAUUCAGGAAGACUGUUUAAUUUGAAUAAUUAUCGUGUGCGUUGCAACAAUUGCAUUAUGAUGUUUCUAGGAAGGCACCAACAACAACACCAUCCCACCAGCAACAACACCAUUCCCACCAACAACAACAUCAUCCCACCAACAACAACACCAUCCCACCAUGCAACAACAACACCAUCCACUCAACCAGGUUCUUAGCUAGAAGGCUGUGUUGGCCGUGUUAUCGUGGGCAAAAAUGUAAAAACACGGCUAGAUGAAAUGAAUGUCUAUGCUCGCCUUGUAUUUGGUUGAAAACCAUAGAACAACCACAGGUAUAAUCUAUUGUUGACAAGCAUGCAUAACUGGAAUCAUGUUUUUGGCUAUUCAAGGCAAUUGACAUGGGCACACCCUGGAAAUUUAGAAACACGCCCAAGAUAUAAAAUGCUAGCUAAGAUCCUGCACCCAACAACGACACCAUCCCACCAACAACACCAUCCCACUAACAACAUCAUCCCACCAACAACAUCACCAUCCCAAAUUGCACCAACAACACCAUCCCACCAACAACAACACCAUCCCACUAACAACAACACCAUCCCACCAACAACAUUACCAUCCCAAAUUGCACCAACAACAACACCAUCCCACCAACAACACCAUCCCAAAUUGCACCAACAACAACACCAUCCCACCAACAACAACACCAUCCCACUAACAACAACAGCACCAUCCCACCAACAACAUCACCAUCCCACCAACAACAUCGAUCACCAUCCCACCAUGCACCACCACUGUUCCAGAGUAGUCAUAUUUUUGUACUCUUCAACAAAAAUAAGUUUUAAACUUUUAAAUUUUUAUUUCUCAAAUUAAUACUGCAGAUUCUGUAUAAGACUGUUUAAUGCAAAUAAUUAUCACGUGUGUUGCAACAGUUGCGAGGGUGCGGUUUGUAUGUAUUGUGAGAAAAACAUGUUCUGGCAUACAAUAUAAUAUUCAUUGAAUUUUGGUGUUUUUAUAGUCAUGUAUGUCUCUUUCUGUACUCCUCUGGAAAUUAUUUUGUCAAACAUUAAAUACAAUCUUCUGGUUUUACUUGAAAAAUGUUUUUCCUUGUUUGUACGUUCGUCAUUUGCGACUUACUUUUCCACAUUUUGCAACUGUAAAAUUCCAUCCAUGAAUGGUUGAAUUUUAAAAAUAACAUUUAAACCCAUGGUGAUGUUGUUGGUGGGAUGCAUGGUUUCAGGGUGGUGGUAUAUGGCGAGGUUGGUGGUGGGAUAUAUAGUGAUGUUGUUGGUGGAAUGGUGAUAUUUUUGGUGGGAUGCAUGGUAAUGUUGUUGGUGGUAAUGAUAAUGUGAUCUAGGUAGUGGUAGUGACUUCAUUAUUUUGACAACACUGUAUGGUAAAGCUCAGCACAAUUACAUUUGUAAAUAUGCAUUUUCUGUUCCAUUAUCUCCAAUGAUCUCAAUUUUAAGAAUGAGUGCUGAGUACAGUAAUAACUUAUAAGUAUUUAUGUGUCUUGCAGAAUGUUGUCAUAAAUUGAUCCAUCUACCCUUGGGUUUAAAAAGUGAAACAAAUAUAUAGUAUAAAUUCCUAAACAUGGGUUUCUGGUCAAGCUACAAAAGACUUACUCAGAGACAGAAAUUUCUCAUUGGCCUCAGCUGGAUUGCAACUGGUUUACUUGGUCCACAUAUCUUGCUCUAUUUUGUCCCAAGUCAGAAACAAAGACUUCAGGAAAAACAAAGAAUUGAAAAUGAAAAAGAAGAAUUGAGUAGUUAGUUGAAUUAGAACUAUAAGAGUCGAGUCCAGUUGGCUGCAUGGGAAGCUGACCAAAGACCAAAUUGGGAUGAAUUAUUAUUAUCCCACAUUAUUAUGCUGCCUCACUUUCUGUUGUGAUUGAACAAACUGUACUUUUUAAUUAUUACAACUUUAAUAGUGUUAGGUCUUGGCAGAAGUGGAAAAAGUAUUGGAACCUGCAUGGGAACCUAGUUCCCAGAAAUUUUUUAGGCAUCCAAAUUUUCGCAGAAAUUUUCACAGAUAUUGUUUUAUAUUUGAUAACUAAUUCUGAGAAUUACACUAAUUGAAUAUCAGAUUACUAAAUACUUGAUUAUUGAAAUGAUUGAAUAGUUAUAUAAUUAAUCUGCUAUCUCGAUACCUAAAUUACAGUGGAAUAGUUCAGAACAAAAAUAGCAUGCAGUGUUACUUUGUAACUAUGAUUUUGUACUUCAGGAUUUAUCUUGUAUGCUUGAUCAGUCUUAAUUGAAGAGAUUGCUUCACGCGACUCACAUCUUAAUGAAUAUAAUCCAUGUAAGGUAAGACCGACAU